rnacentral:rRNA from 1 species
GACGAACGCUGGCGGCGUGCUUAACACAUGCAAGUCGAACGGAAAGGCCCCCUUGUGGGGUACUCGAGUGGCGAACGGGUGAGUAACACGUGAGUAACCUACCCUUGACUUUGGGAUAACCUCAGGAAACUGGGGCUAAUACCGGAUAGGAGCUCCUGCUGCAUGGUGGGGGUUGGAAAGUUUCGGCGGUUGGGGAUGGGCUCGCGGCUUAUCAGCUUGUUGGUGGGGUAGUGGCUCACCAAGGCUUUGACGGGUAGCCGGCCUGAGAGGGUGACCGGCCACAUUGGGACUGAGAUACGGCCCAGACUCCUACGGGAGGCAGCAGUGGGGAAUAUUGCACAAUGGGCGGAAGCCUGAUGCAGCAACGCCGCGUGCGGGAUGACGGCCUUCGGGUUGUAAACCGCUUUCGCCUGUGACGAAGCGUGAGUGACGGUAAUGGGUAAAGAAGCACCGGCUAACUACGUG